rnacentral:tRNA from 1 species
GGGCCGCUAGCUCAACUGGCAGAGCAACGGACUCUUAAUCCGUAGGUUGCAGGUUCGACUCCUGCGCGGCUCA